GGUCGGUUACGUCCUCGCGACAGCUGCGCGUCCGCCGAUCCCGGGGUCCCGGGCGGGGGCGGUGCGACCCGCCCAAGGUCGCGCCCGCGGCGCUGCCUUCGGGCAGGCCCUGGGAUCCCGCGGCAGGCGGGGCGGGGCCUCCGGCGUCCACGUGGACCCGGAGGCGGAGCUCUGGGCUCGCCGCUAGCAUCCCGAGUCCCCGUUGCUGUGCGGCGGCCGCGGGGGCGCUCCCUGGUGCCCCGUGCGAGUACCUGUUCAACAGCAAGCCCACAGAAUGCCUGAAGAUUUAACAUUUGGUUCUCGUGAGCCAGUUCCGGCUCGGCAAUGGUCUUACCCCUAAGUGGAGACGGGAGUGGGAUGACUGGAGACGGACUUUCUAGCAGUCCUUGCAGGAGCCAACAGCCAAGUGAAAAGGCCCCGGAGAGGAUCACGUGGCCGGGGACUGUGGGCAUCCUCCAGAACCUGAGGGUGGCCUCCUGCCGGCAACCAGGAAGAAGCUGGGGCCCUCGGUCAUGCAGUCACGAGGAUACGCAUCUCCCGGUGACCUGAAUGAGCUUGAAAGAGUCGCAUCUCCAGACAAGAGCAAAGGUCAGCCUGUCCCUGAAUCAUAGGCCCUGGGAGACCCUGAACUGGACCCAGCUACAGCCAAGCCCCAGCUCCUGCCCCACGGAAGUGGAGAGUGCCCCAGUUUCGGAUGAUCGACGCUACGGUCAUUGUUCUGGGUCAAGCUAUGUCCCCACGAUUGUCAUAUGUCGAAACCCUGCCUUAAGCACCUCUGAGUGUGGCCUCGCUUGGAAGCAGGGUCAUGACUGGUGUAAUUCGUUAGAACGGAACCGCUCAGGAGGAGGGCGGCCCCGGAUCCGGCACGACUGGGAUUCUUACGAAAAGGGGAAAUUUGGAGACGGGUCCUCCCCUAGCUCCUGUACCUCCGUCUCAGACUUCCAGCCUCCAGACUGUGAGACAACACUUCUCUGUGGAUUAAGCCACUCGGUUCAGGGUACUUUGUUUCAGCAGCCCCGGGACACUCAUCCAGUCAUCCUACCUACACACUGUGUCUGAGGAGGAAGGCAUCUUCCAGCUGCCAGUGACCUGAGCUGUUAGCAUUUGAGAGGAAACUUGAGGAGGGCUGGGACGCCACAGACCGGGAUGGUGCGUGGAGAGAGGGCCUGACCCACACCCCGUGCAGCAGGAGGGGGACAGGCAAAGGGACACGUGCUGGCCAGCGGCCUCUUCCCCUUUCAAAGGACCUUCUUUGAGAAUGGCCAACAGUUCCAGUUUGCCCGGGACCAUGGGGUCUCCCAGGAUGCAGGACUCUCAUCGCUACACCCAAGAAAGUCUAGGCAGACUGGAACGCGUCGGUCAUCCUGAGCCCUGUGACCUGUGCUGAAGCACAUUAAGCGCAGUGACCUUGAGUGGCCGCCCCUGGCCUCAAGGAAGGCUCAGGGCCAUCCCAGGCAAAACCGGAGUUGUGCGAGUUAGGAGGAAGUGCAGAACAGGCACGGAGGAGGCUGCUGGUGCUUCUGCCCUUGUAACUCCAGCCUGUGGUCUGGCCCACCCCACAGCACCACCUGUGAGCAUGUGACUGCCCGAAGCACCUGACCAGAGCCACGACUGCCCACAGUGGCUUCCCGGGGGCCGUGUGGCCCGAUCUCCUCACUCCAACACUGCUUCACUUCUGGCAUCCUAGAGAGGAGAGCCCCCCAACCCCCAGAGCAUUAUACCCUUUAGGACUUGCAUUUGCUGCUUUUGGCGAGGCAAGAAAACGCUUGCCCGGGAGGAUUUCCAACCUGGUGAGUGGAUGUGUCCGUGCCCUUCAGCUUUGGUAGCUAGCUGCUCAUUCUGGAUCCAGGGCACCGAUAGACAUACAAAGAGGGAAGCAAAAUGGUGUCUUACUGAUUUAGUCCUUUUCCAUUAGCAUGAGCUCUGUGAGACUCUCUUAGCCAGCUUGCCUUUCCCUCUGAUGCUGUGAUCGGGUAAACAGCGGAGGGGAAAUACGACCGGUGGAUACCAGACACCGGGGGGAUGCUGGGCUGUGCGGGUGUCGUGUGCGUUCCGUGGCCUCCCUGCACCGCGUCCACGGCAAAGGUACGUGCAGAACGGGAGGCCAGCAUCUUGUCUGCUUUCAGUGACCCCCGAUCAGAGUGCGUCUGGCCCAGCCAUGCUUUUGAUAAAUGGCUGGGAGUUGGGCUGGAAGCCAGGGCUUCUGGAAUUCCAUUUCCUUCUCUAAGCUACGCAUUUCUUCACAGAUGUGGGGAGCUGCGUUCGCUGCUUCCUUUCCUCCCACUUCGAAACCAGAACUGUGGUCAUGUGCGUUUGGAAGCGGGUGAGAAGCAGGCAGCCACCCCCUGUGGCACCGUGUCCGUGACGUCCAGUCUCAUUUUGUCUCGCCGUGUGUGGCUCCAUCUUCUUCCCUGUACAGACCUCGGGGGAUUUCUGGUUGCGCUCUACACUUGGGUCUGUGUCUGUUUUAUUGAGCUAGGGUGCUGUUGAUAACCAUAGGUUGAAACAUAUGAGAUUAGUGACCGUUGGCCGGAGGUGACCUUUCUUGAACAGCAGUGGGGUGAUUGGGCCUGAUGACGAGUAGCACACUGAGAUCUGGCUUCCCUGCCAGGCGCUGCAGUGUGCCCUCUACACACAAGACCCCCCCAUCUACUCCAGAGGUUUACAGGAAUUGGGAAACUGAGGCACAGGAGGGAGCGAGUAACUUGCAGGCAGUUUAAGUGUGGGAGCCACACCUAGAACCUGAGGGGGUUGUCCACGCACCCACCACCCCUGUGAGCCAUCAGCUCUCCUAACCGAGGGAGGAGAAGCAUAUUGUCACCUGUGUGGGUGACAAAGCAUUUUGUAGGAAGUGUUAUGGGAAAGCUUUUUGCCUAUGUAUUUUAGAAAAUUCCCCUUUACCUAAUAAAUUUCAGCAAUUCGCAAGGAGAAGGGGGUACAAAGAGCCCAAGCGGGCUUUAACAACACCCUGGUCCGGCAACUAAACAAGCCGGGGGCCUAAGGUGACCCCUUCACUUCUUUAAACCUUGGUUCACUUGUCUGUGCUGUCAAACAGGGCUGGUGAUCAUGCUUUCACGGGGUCGUUUAGAGAACAAAUAAGAGGGGCGAGGUGCCUAGCACAGUGCCUGGCAUGCAGCAAGCACACAAUAAAUGUUAACGGAAAUAAAGUAUGAUGCAGCAAAUCGCCAAAGGAAGAGAUCUGCUUUCGGGACUAGUUGGGUUAAUUUUUCACCAGCAGCUUCCAUGGGCUGUGGCAACACUUCAUAUCUAGUCUCCGUCCUCCCAGCUGUCGAAGCAGGACAACGGUGGCCUCCAGCCACCUUGUGAGGAUGGACGAGAAGCUGCCAGAGGUCUUGGAGAAGAUCGCGUCCUUGUAGGCACGAGCAAGACGCUGUAAGCUGGGGGCCCUGACCCACCCUAUCUGAAGGGUAGCCUCCUGGUUAUAAACAGAUGUGACAGCACCUCCCUCUGUUUUGGCAUCUGCUUGCAAAUCAGAUUAAAACACCCCCCCGCCCACCCACAAAAAAGACUUUGAACAAGAUAGAAGCAAAGUAUUGUUUUAAGACACAAAGUCAUGGUCCCUAACAAUGGGCAGGAGGUUUCCUGGUGUCUAAAUUUGUAUCUUGUUCUGUCUGCAUUUAUUUCUGGACUUAGCCCAGCCUCGUGUGCCCUUGCGUGGAGGCCACUGGGACUGCAGAACUGAACUCACCAGCCUCCAGCUGAUGCUAGAGCUUCUGAGGAGGGAGGAGAGAAAGGGAAGAGUUCCAGAAGGGGCACUCUGGCCGCCCCAAGAUGCUUUCUCCUCCAAAAUUUUCCCUUCUUAGCCAUUUCCCAGAUACAGAAUCAUUCAUCGUGGGGUCCGUGGUCUGCUUUCUCUAAGCACCAGGCUUGGGGUUCAUCCUUAUUGUCCCACAUACCAGCAGGCCGUCCUUGUUCGUGCCGAUUGGGCUUGAUUGCAGGAAUCUACCGGUUUAAAAAAAAAAAAAAAAAAAAAGGAAACCAGCCCACUAGUUGAUAGACAUGUGGAUCGUUUCCAGUUCGGGUUUUAUGAAUAAUUCUGCUGUAAACAUUCACGGAGGAGUCUGUGGCAUGUGCAUUCAUUUCUCUUGAGCAGAUUCCCCAGGGUGGAGGUGCUGGGCUGAACCCUGAAUGUACGUUAGAACUUUUCACUACGCUGUUCUCCUGAGCGAGGACUGGCUGCCGUUGUGAGUGGCGGAAACAUUCUAAAUAAUAUCAGAAGACCGGACGGGGCGACAGUUCGUCAAACUGCACUCACAGGGUGAAGUUGAAUUUCUGCCUGAUAACAUUGUUAAAUAGUGAGAAUCUUGGGGCGCCUGGGGCACCUGAGUGGCUCAGUGGGUUAAAACUUCUGCCUUCGGCUCAGGUCAGGAUCUCAGGGUCCUGGGA